rnacentral:rRNA from 1 species
GUGGGGAAUUUUGGACAAUGGGCGCAAGCCUGAUCCAGCCAUGCCGCGUGUCUGAAGAAGGCCUUCGGGUUGUAAAGGACUUUUGUCAGGGAAGAAAAGGCUGUUGCUAAUAUCGACAGCUGAUGACGGUACCUGAAGAAUAAGCACCGGCUAACUACGUGCCAGCAGCCGCGGUAAUACGUAGGGUGCGAGCGUUAAUCGGAAUUACUGGGCGUAAAGCGAGCGCAGACGGUUACUUAAGCAGGAUGUGAAAUCCCCGGGCUCAACCUGGGAACUGCGUUCUGAACUGGGUGACUAGAGUGUGUCAGAGGGAGGUAGAAUUCCACGUGUAGCAGUGAAAUGCGUAGAGAUGUGGAGGAAUACCGAUGGCGAAGGCAGCCUCCUGGGAUAACACUGACGUUCAUGCUCGAAAGCGUGGGUAGCAAACAGGAUUAGAUACCCUGGUAGUCCACGCCCUAAACGAUGUCAAUUAGCUGUUGGGCAACUUGAUUGCUUAGUAGCGUAGCUAACGCGUGAAAUUGACCGCCUGGGGAGUACGGUCGCAAGAUUA